CUCUCCAGAAAUCAUCAGAAAAUCUCCAACUUUUGCCUCUCUCUCUCUCUCUCUAAAUUUUUUUUUUUUUUAAUCCUCUCUCUCUCUCUCUCUCUCUCUCUCUCUCAAUCGAACCGUUUGUUCGUAAAAGAGAGUGCUGUUAGGGUUAGGUUUUCAACUUUAAAAGAGUGUUCCGACCGUUCAAUUCCGUAAUCGACGAACUUAGCGCACGAUGUAUGCUGAUCGUGUGGACACUGAAUCCGGUAGGUCUGUCAAGGACCGUCUUAAUGGAAGCACCAUAGACGAUUCCGGUCGCCGGAGGCAAUUUACCGGCAAGAGACAGAGGCAAGAUGAUGACAGGUGGGAGCAUGAUCUUUAUAAGGACAAUGAUCCUCAAGUUUCAAAUCGCAGAAUUGAUACUAAGGAUCUUCGGUUUAAGCUCCAGAAGAAGGGCAUCCUGCAAGCAAUUCACAGUGGAAGUGGAUCUGUUUCAGCUGUUAGAGAUCUUCGCGAAAAGCUAUCUGGUUCAACGUACUCGCUGCCAGUGAAGUCUGACCCCCCAAAGCCAAAGACAAAGGCAAAUCCAAAGCCAAAACCUCUACUUGAGGGAAGUAGGAAAAGCAUCAUUGUUGAAGCCCCUGAAUCAGAGACCAAAAAAGUUGCCAGCUCAAUCCCUAGGAAAAAGACUCAGCAAACGGCUGAAUCAGUUGAUAGUUUCCUGCAGUCCCUUGGUCUCGAAAAGUACUCAAUUACAUUUCAAGCGGAGGAAGUUGAUAUGACGGCGCUUGUGCACAUGGCCGAUGAGGAUCUGAAGGCUUUAGGGAUACCAAUGGGUCCAAGGAAGAAGAUACUUUUGGCAUUGGAAUCUAAAGUCUGACAUUUCGGGGUGGACCAAGUUCCUUUGCAUAUGUGGGUCUCAAUGUUUUAGUUCAAUUUCGCUGAAGUCAGUAGGUGUUUUUCAACCCGUGUUAUUCAGUUGCCGUGUACAUGCAAAACCAAUAUGAAUGAAGAGUUGUGCUGCUUGAACCGAAGGAGCAAGGCAAAAAUUUAGACCUUUAUUAUUGUGGCAUGUUCGUACUCUAGAAACAGAUGGUCUCUCCCCUCUCCACACAAAGUGGUCCAUGCUCUUAUACAAAAUCUUCAGAGUGGUACUGCCAAUUAGCCUCUUCACCAUCACCUUUGGUUGCUCUCCCCCAGGCAUGCAGAAGAAAUCAUAGCAGGUGACGGAGUUGUUUGGAGUCUUCAAUGUCAAGAACCAGCACUACUCUAUACAAGCCUUCUUUAUGGAAGCCCUGUUUGCAACUUCUGAGGAUUUGAUUUAGCCGCUGAAAAGCAAACGGAAAGAGAGGGACUGUGUUGCAAAUGAUAAUCAAGGGAAUUAUAUUUGUUGUUUUGUAUGAAGCUUAGUCUCAAUUUUGAAGGGUACUUCAUUUUCUUUUCAAAUUGGUUGCUCUCCUCUAAAUGGAGUAAAAUUGGUUGCCUGCUUCAAA